rnacentral:rRNA from 1 species
GUCCACGCUGUAAACGAUGGGCACUAGGUGUCUGGGGUAUUGACCCCCUGGGUGCCGCAGCUAACGCAUUAAGUGCCCCGCCUGGGGAGUACGGUCGCAAGAUUAAAACUCAAAGGAAUUGACGGGGGCCCCGCACAAGCGGUGGAGCAUGUGGUUCAAUUCGACGCAACGCGAAGAACCUUACCUGGGCUAGACAACGGUGGACCGUCCUAGAAAUAGGAUCUUCCCUUCGGGGACCGCCGGUUCAGGUGCUGCAUGGCUGUCGU